AUGCAUGUCUAAGUACACACUGUAGCACAGUGAAACCGCGAAUGGCUCAUUAAAUCAGUUAUGGUUUAUUAGAUCGUGCGUUCCAUGUGGAUAACUGUGGUAAUUCUAGAGCUAAUACAUGCAACAGGCCCUGACGUUAUGAAGGGGCGCUUUUAUUAGAUCAAAACCAAUCAGACUUCGGUCUGUAUUUGUGAUGACUCUGGAUAACUUUGUGCCGACCGCAUGGCCUUGCGCCGGCGGCGUAUCUUUCAAAUGUCUGCCCUAUCAACUUUCGAUGGUACGUGAUAUGCCUACCAUGGUUGUAACGGGUAACGGAGAAUCAGGGUUCGAUUCCGGAGAGGGAGCCUGAGAAACGGCUACCACAUCCAAGGAAGGCAGCAGGCGCGCAAAUUACCCACUCCCGGCACGGGGAGGUAGUGACGAAAAAUAACAAUGCUGGGCUUCAAGUCCGGUAAUUGGAAUGAGUACACUUUAAAUCCUUUAACGAGGAUCCAGUGGAGGGCAAGUCUGGUGCCAGCAGCCGCGGUAAUUCCAGCUCCACGAGCAUGUACGUAAGUUGUUGCAGUUAAAAAGCUCGUAGUUUGAUUUCAGGCUUGUGGCCGGUGGUCUGUUCGAUACGAGCAUGUACUGCCGUGCCCGGUCUUCAUCUGGUGCAACUUCGCAGUGCCCUUGACCGGGUGCUGCGGAAUGCCAGAAAUUUUACUCUGAAAAAAUUAGAGUGCUCAAAGCAAGCCGAUUGUGCUUGAAUACUGUUGCAUGGAAUAAUAAAAUAGGACCUCGGUUUUAUUUUGUUGGUUUUCAGAGUCGAGGUAAUGAUUAAGAGGGACAGACGGGGGCAUUCGUAUUGCGCUGUUAGAGGUGAAAUUCUUGGAUCGGUGCAAGACGAACAACUGCGAAAGCAUUUGCCAAGAAUGUUUUCAUUAAUCAAGAACGAAAGUCAGAGGUUCGAAGACGAUCAGAUACCGUCGUAGUUCUGACCAUAAACGAUGCCAACUGGCGAUCCGCCGUAGUCUGGCUUGAAGGACUCGGUGGGCAGCCUCCGGGAAACCUAAGUCUAUGGGUUCCGGGGGAAGUAUGGUUGCAAAGCUGAAACUUAAAGGAAUUGACGGAAGGGCACCACCAGGAGUGGAGCCUGCGGCUUAAUUUGACUCAACACGGGAAAACUCACCCGGCCAGGACACCGUUAGGAUUGACAGACUGAAAGCUCUUUCUUGAUUCGGUGGGUGGUGGUGCAUGGCCGUUCUUAGUUGGUGGAGUGAUUUGUCUGGUUAAUUCCGAUAACGAACGAGACUCUAGCCUGCUAAAUAGACGGACGAUCUGUUUAGGGUCGAUCCGAACACAGCUUCUUAGAGGGACAAGUGGCGUUUCUAGCCACGCGAAAUUGAGCAAUAACAGGUCUGUGAUGCCCUUAGAUGUCCGGGGCCGCACGCGCGCUACAAUGAGAGACGCAGCGUGUCCGCAACGCCUGACCCGAAAGGGUUGGGUAAUCAUUUCAAUUUCUCUCGUAAUAGGGAUUGAGCAUUGUAAUUAUUGCUCAUGAACGAGGAAUUCCUAGUAAGCGCGAGUCAUAAGCUUGCGUUGACUACGUCCCUGCCCUUUGUACACACCGCCCGUCGCUACUACCGAUUGAAUGGUUUAGCGAGAACCUCGGAUUGAACCCAUGCCGUGUGUAAGCAUGGUUGCGGGUUUGAAAAGAAGCUCAAGCUUGAUCAUUUA
rnacentral:rRNA from 1 species